GCCUGGGUGGCUCAGUCGGUUAAGCGUCCGACUUCGGCUCAGGUCAUGAUCUCGCGGUUCGUGGGUUCGAGCCCCACGUCGGGCU
rnacentral:tRNA from 1 species